UAAAAUGCUUGACUGUUAGAAAAUGCAUAGAAUGUAAAUGGUCAUUCGAACCCUAGAAUAUUGAAUCUAUUAGAGAACUUAAAACAUAAUGUCAGAGCUAAAACCGACAUUUAGAACACAACAUCAGAAGAGAAAAGCAUCUUAGAACAUGGAAAGGUCACAAUUUUGUCAUAUUCAGAAUCUUUCCUUUUGGUUUGACACGCCAGAUCCUGGUUAAUUGGCUAAGUAUUUGAGAAGAUGAGGUCCCCUCUACCCAACAAUAAAUUAUCAGUGCAAGAAAACAAUGGUGCUACCAUCAGAUAUCGUUGUGUGACUUUGACCAAUUCACUUCCCGUGGCCUUUUUAUCUCAUCAUCUCUGAAUUAAGGAGCAGUUUGGACUAAGAGAACAUUCAAGAUCUCUCUGGCUCACAAAUUUCAUGAUUCUCCAUAAGUCUAGGCAUUUCACACUAUUUUGCUGACUAACUAAGGUUAAGUAUUUGACCUCUGACCAAUCAAUUUAUCAUGGAUCAUUCAAGAAAAGAAUCUAUUCAUCCUGAAUGUGCUAACAUUAAAUACUAGUCUUCAGAUGGGAUUAAAAUUUCCCAGUGUUGGAGGGGUAGUAUUGGAUUCUGCUCUGGAAAUGAAAAUGAGAAGAAAGAAAGAAAGUAGACUCAAAUCCUGUACUGGUUGAUGUCAGGGGCUAUUAUAUAAUGAUGGAGGUAUUAGUGCCUGAGUUAAGUUUUCAGGAUUAUUUUAGCCUUUUAAAAAGCCUACUUAUUCCAAUUUAUCUGUCAUCUUCAUUCUCUAUAACUUUGACAUACACAUGGAGAGAGCUCGUUGAAAAAUCUUUUAGGCAGAAUUCUUUGAAAGAAUUGGAUGAUGAGUUGUUGGUGGUGUUUUUAUAAUCAAUGACUAGCACAGUGGGAUCCAGAAUUCUCUAUACUUUUUUGGUGAGUUGUAUGGCUGAAAAACUAAUA